GAUGAACGCUGGCGGCGUGCUUAACACAUGCAAGUCGAACGGGAAACCUUUUAUUGAAGCUUCGGCAGAUUUAGCUGGUUUCUAGUGGCGGACGGGUGAGUAACGCGUGGGUAACCUGCCCUAUACAGGGGGAUAACAACCAGAAAUGGUUGCUAAUACCGCAUAAGCGCACAGGACCGCAUGGUCUGGUGUGAAAAACUCCGGUGGUAUAGGAUGGACCCGCGUUGGAUUAGCCAGUUGGCAGGGUAACGGCCUACCAAAGCGACGAUCCAUAGCCGGCCUGAGAGGGUGAACGGCCACAUUGGGACUGAGACACGGCCCAGACUCCUACGGGAGGCAGCAGUGGGGAAUAUUGCACAAUGGGGGAAACCCUGAUGCAGCGACGCCGCGUGAAGGAAGAAGUAUCUCGGUAUGUAAACUUCUAUCAGCAGGGAAGAUAGUGACGGUACCUGACUAAGAAGCCCCGGCUAACUACGUGCCAGCAGCCGCGGUAAUACGUAGGGGGCAAGCGUUAUCCGGAUUUACUGGGUGUAAAGGGAGCGUAGACGGAUUAGCAAGUCUGAUGUGAAAGGCAGGGGCUCAACCUCUGGACUGCAUUGGAAACUGCCAGUCUUGAGUGCCGGAGAGGUAAGCGGAAUUCCUAGUGUAGCGGUGAAAUGCGUAGAUAUUAGGAGGAACACCAGUGGCGAA
rnacentral:rRNA from 1 species